AACACAUCAAAUCAGCAAUAUGAAAGAUACAUGAAACCAGAUUCAACCAUUGCAUGUACGGAAACAAAGUGAUAAGAGACUUGUCGAGUAAACGAGAUGUUAACUCUUACUGAAGCUCGAACGUAGUAGAUACAAAGGGGGGUGAACUCACCUGGAUGGGAGGAAGACAGACCUCCCUGGUUGCCGUGGAAGCGUACAUCACCGAGGGCGGAGGUGGAGGAGGUGUCGGCGCGGAGAGGGUUAGGUCUCUUGCGGCCCCUGGAGGUGGCGUCGUCCGACGUCAUGUAGCUCGGUUGGGACGAGGAACAGGCGACAUCUUCCUGUGAUCCAUUCGUGGAUUAUUCGUCCUUUUCAAUACUCCUCUUUUAAAAGUUUCGUGUUUGGGGAUCAAAAAUUCGGUUUUUUUAACAUUUUGUGACUAAUUUGGAAGGUAAUUCAUGAAA